GACCCAUGGUGAGGGCACCUUCUCAAUAGAUCUUUUUAUCUCUCUCAUGCAUCAUAAAGGGUUUCUAGAUCCAUUGCACAAAAGAAGAGAUAUCAUUCCUCAAUUU
rfam:Gossypium hirsutum cultivar TM-1 chromosome 9, whole genome shotgun sequence